UAAUACGGGGGGAGCAAACGUUGUUCGGAAUCACUGGGCGUAAAGGGCGCGUAGGCGGCUCGGCAAGUGGUGUGUGAAAUGCCCUGGCUCAACCAGGGAACUGCGCACCAAACUGCCGAGCUUGAGGGCUGUAGAGGAAGCUGGAAUUCCUGGUGUAGCGGUGAAAUGCGUAGAUAUCAGGAGGAACACCGUUGGCGAAGGCGAGCUUCUGGGCAGUCCCUGACGCUGAGGCGCGAAAGUAGGGGGAGCAAACAGGAUUAGAUACCCUGGUAGUCCCUACUGUAAACGGUGAACACUAGGUGUGGGGAGUGUCGACCCUCUCCGUGCCGCAGCUAACGCAUUAAGUGUUCCGCCUGGGAAGUACGGUCGCAAGGCUG
rnacentral:rRNA from 1 species